rnacentral:rRNA from 1 species
UUGAAAGGGAAACGAUUGAAGUCAGUCGUGCUGGCGCGUAAUCAGCCUAUGAUUUGUCAAACAAGUAGUGUGGUGAGCCUCAAAACCGCCAUAUUAUUUGUCUGGCUAAUCGUCGGUGCACUUUCGUGUCGGCUGGUUAACAUCAAUUUCAAAUGUCAUAAAAAGGCUGGAGGGAUGUGGCUCCUUCGGGAGUGUUAUAACCUUUAGCGGAAUGUGGUGUUUGGGAUUGAGGAUUGCAACGAAUACCUUUAGGGCUGUUCCACCUGGUCUCUCUUUGGCAUCUUGGCGGCGACAGCUUGCUGACGUUGUUAAGAUUUGACAUUGAACAGGCUAGAGUGUGGGCAAAUUCGUUAAGGAUGUUGACGUA